rnacentral:lncRNA from 1 species
AUUUACUUCAUCUACAGGAAAACAGGCUUUUAAAAAUAACCACUAAUACUUACAUUUUACCAUGAGUAAAGUAGUACUUUUGCAGUAAUUUUUUGAGUUUAUAUGCAGACAUAAUAGACAUUACUAAAUAUCAGGAAAGCUAACAUUUCAUACAAGGUAGCUUCAGACCGAAUUCAAGUUGAAUUUGAAUAAAUUAGAAAUGCUGUGCAUACAUAUAACCCCUUUGUGCACUGUUAGUCUUAGAAUGUUAAUCCUUGUUUUUUGUCAUGUCUGUAAAGGAGAAACAAAACAAAAAACCAGAGCCCUAGAGAAAUGCUGUCACUUUUUAUUUUUACACCCAUUGGAUUUAAGGAAAAGACUUUUUAGUCGAUAUUGAUUGGUUGGAAGGAAUGAAGAAAGUUUUUAGUUAUAGGUCCAGACACUAGUGCUGAAAAUAAAGAUUAUAGCCAGUGUUCUUCUGUCUUCCAUAGUUACUACAACUAUGAGAGCCCCCCAAACCCCCACCAAGUCAUCUAUCAAUUCAGCUCUCUUUUUUUUUUUGGUCUUAAUGUUGACACACAAGUUUAUACAGAGUGGAUUACCGAACUAGCUCAGAAGAGGACAGCAAAGAAUUAAAGCAGGUGAUCUUCCCUUGUGGGAGAGCUCUCUCAGUGCUAAUAUGCCUUCUGUGGGCAGAAAUCAGGAAUCCACCAGCUGUUAAUGGAGAGUGCCUUGCUUCCAUUUCAGACAGCAGAGUUUUCCAAAGUUUCUCUGCUCCUCUAACAGCAUUGCUCUUUAGUGGGUGUUAACAUUGUGUUUGAAAGAAAUGCUCUUGUACAUUAACAAUGUAGAUUUAAAUGAUUAAAUUAAAUUACAUUGUAUCAAUG